UGGGGAAUAUUGCACAAUGGGCGAAAGCCUGAUGCAGCGACGCCGCGUGAGGGAUGACGGCCUUCGGGUUGUAAACCUCUUUCAGUAGGGACGAAGCGCAAGUGAGGGUACCUGCAGAAGAAGCCCCGGCUAACUACGUGCCAGCAGCCGCGGUAAUACGUAGGGUGCGAGCUUUGUCCGGAAUUACUGGGCGUAAAGAGCUCGUAGGCGGUUUGUCACGUCGUCUGUGAAAUCCUAGGGCUUAACCCUGGACGUGCAGGCGAUACGGGCUGACUUGAGUACUACAGGGGAGACUGGAAUUUCUGGUGUAGCGGUGGAAUGCACAGAUAUCAGGAAGAACACCGAUGGCGAAGGCAGGUCUCUGGGUAGUAACUGACGCUGAGGAGCGAAAGCAUGGGUAGCGAACAGG
rnacentral:rRNA from 1 species